UACGUAGGGUGCGAGCGUUGUCCGGAAUUAUUGGGCGUAAAGAGCUCGUAGGCGGUGUGUCACGUCGGCCGUGAAAACCUGCAGCUUAACUGUGGGCGUGCGGUCGAUACGGGCAUCACUGGAGUUCGGCAGGGGAGACUGGAAUUCCUGGUGUAGCGGUGAAAUGCGCAGAUAUCAGGAAGAACACCCGUGGCUAAGGCGGCUCUCUAGUACGGUACUGACGCUGAGACGCGAAAGCGUGGGGAGCGAGCAGG
rnacentral:rRNA from 1 species